rnacentral:pre_miRNA from 1 species
UUAAUUCAUAUUUGUAUGGAAUGGGAUCGUUUGCGUGCGUUUGCCGCUUGGGGCGCUGAUCCAACUGCAUACAGAAUUGGCUUA